AUGGGGCAGAGCUGGAGGGGAAGAAUCGGGACCCACGGCGGAGGAAGGGGUCUGGGCACCGAGGCAAGUGUGCAGCAGGUGCCCAGCAGACCUAGGGAAACCGGGGCACUGGGCUGGGGAGCCGCACAGCCCCCUUUCGCCUUCUCGAUUCCUUUCCAACCCCUCGCUCUGGUCGAUCCCAGCCCUGGCCCCAGCUCCCUGACCUGUUCCCCGCCCUCCGCCCCGGUGGCUUCCAGCAGCAACAGUUGGGGUCCGCGGCAGCCCAGACUCCCCCGCUCCCGCCGUGCCGCCGCGCCAACGAAGGAGGAGGGGGGCUCGGCGACCCCGGGGACGAACGUCUUAGGCGCUGCACCCGCGUCCUUCUCUCACGUCCGCCGCGCGCCUGUCUCCUCGGCCUCUUCUUCACCUCCUCUCCGGCCGCCCGGGUCCAAACCCAAGGCCGGGUUCUCGAGGUCCGGGUCCUCCAGCCGCCCCCUCCUCGCGCCCCGAGAGUCCUGCGCGGGCCCGGCUCCCCCAGGUGUCCCGCCUCUGUCUCCGCCGUCCUUGCUCGCGCGCCGCGGGAACCCAGCCCCAAGUUGGCGGCGAAGUUGGCGCCCCCGCCCGCCGCCUGCCACUCACCAAGAGGAAGGGGCGCUGCGUCCGCGCCGAGAGCCCACGCCGGCCGCCUCCCUCGCGGUGUCUGUCCCAGAGCCUCGGCCCCGGAGGGCUGGCGCGCUGUCUCAGCUCCGCGGGCGCCGGAGCCAGGGCGCGGCAGGGCGGGGGAGGGUGGCGCGGCCUGGCCGGCUGGCCCCGACCCGCCCCCGCGCCCCGCGACCCUCCCGAGGCUCACACGGCGCCCGGCUCCAUCCCGGGCUGGUCUGCGCGCCGAGCCUCCUGCUCCCAGGGCUCGCAGCCGACUGUGCAGGAGCUUUCACCGCCGCCCGCGAGGGUCGCCCCGCCGGGGCCCGUCGCCUCCGCCCCGGCUCGGCCCGGCCAGCCGCCCCUCGAUGCCCCUCCCGCCGCAGGCCCGGGUCCCUCUCUCCUCUCCGGGACCGCGUCCCCAGACUCGACACUCGGGGCAAGUGCACCUCGGAGGAAACGCCAGCCUGCCUGGAACCUGGGUUUGAGCCCGCAGCUCACAAGUGUGUGACCUUGGGCUAA
rnacentral:lncRNA from 1 species